ensembl:snoRNA U8 U8 small nucleolar RNA
UUGUCGGGUGGGAUAAUCCUUACCUGUUCCUCCUUUAGAGGGCAGACAGAACAUGAUGAUUGAAGUUCGAAUGGUAAGUGAUUAGCAUCUCUGCUUAAUUAUGACCUGCAACACCCUGAUUACCCCUGAU